GUGGCCGCGCCUGCUCCCGCCGGGGGCUCCUUGCUCGGCCGGGCCGCGGCCAUGGGAGAGGCCGAGGUGGGCGGCGGGGGCGCCGCAGGCGACAAGGGCCCGGGGGAGGCGGCCACCAGCCCGGCGGAGGAGACAGUGGUGUGGAGCCCCGAGGUGGAGGUGUGCCUCUUCCACGCCAUGCUGGGCCACAAGCCCGUCGGUGUGAACCGACACUUCCACAUGAUUUGUAUUCGGGACAAGUUCAGCCAGAACAUCGGGCGGCAGGUCCCAUCCAAGGUCAUCUGGGACCAUCUGAGCACCAUGUACGACAUGCAGGCGCUGCAUGAGUCUGAGAUUCUUCCAUUCCCGAAUCCAGAGAGGAACUUCGUCCUUCCAGAAGAGAUCAUUCAGGAGGUCCGAGAAGUGGCUGGACGGAAGCUGAGGCCUGUGUGGGCAGCAAGCGUCGGAGCAGUCCCUGGCCUGACCAUCCCCCAGCGUCGGCCACCACCGUGGGUUUUCGGUGAGCGUCAGCUGUCUCCUCCACAGGAAAAGUGAUGAUAGAAGAGGAGAUGAAAGAGGAGAUGAAGGAAGACGUGGACCCCCACAAUGGGGCUGACGAUGUUUUUUCAUCUUCAGGGAGUUUGGGGAAAGCAUCAGAAAAAUCCAGCAAAGACAAAGAGAAGAACUCCUCAGACUUGGGGUGCAAAGAAGGCGCAGACAAGCGGAAGCGCAGCCGGGUCACCGACAAAGUCCUGACCGCAAACAGCAACCCUUCCAGUCCCAGUGCUGCCAAGCGGCGCCGCACGUAGACCCUCAGCCCUGGUGGCGGCAGAGAAGCGGGCGAGGCACUGUGGUCGCUGAGGGGGUUGGCUGGGUCUGAGUGCCACCCCCCAGGCCACAGUGAUACCAUCCCAGUGCCAUGAGCCCACACUGCCCGCCCUCAGGCUCUCAGGUGAACGUGGCCGUCAGCGGGGAAACGUGUGUGUCAGUUGGACCAUGUGGGACCCUGAUGGACCUGAAAGACCAGGAUCGGUCCAGCUCAGAUAUUGAGGGCUCUGAAGCCUAGUUCUGUCUUCUCUGGAGCAGCUGUGGCUUCCCCGUGGCUGCUUGGUGACAUGGAUUAGCGCUACGUGGGCUGCAGCAUUUGGGAUCCAGGCUACCUAGAGGGGCAUCGGGCCAGGGAAAACCUCGGAUUAGCAAGCAAUAAAAACAUGACCUCACUCUUCCUCAAAGGAGCCCCUGGUCUUCCCUGUGUGACUCAGUUCUUUCCAUCUGUUUGUCCCGCUGCAAGCCUCUUUCUGCGCUGACUGUGACAUUGGAACGUGGCCUUCCUGUCACCCCCUCCGUGCCACGCACUGAAGGCCACCCCCACCCACCUGGGAAACUAAGAACUGGAUAUUUUGCCUCAUUCACUUGUACUGUAACAAUGUAUAUAAUUUGGUUGGUAUUUCACUAUUUAAUUUUUAAGAAGCCUAUUUUACUAGUGUUUUAUAUGAACAAAGUACUGCAGAAGUUAAACCUGUGUUGUAUUUUUUCUGAGAUGUUUUGCUUUAAGAGAUACUUUUUGCUCAGUUUUUAUAUGCCAGAUACAGAGAAUUUGUAGCGGUUAUUUUUGUAUGAUCUAGUAACUUGCAAACAGACCAAAUGGAUGAGAGGCGGGGACCGUGCAGCUGUCGGCUGAUGAGGAGGCGGCCGCCCCAGUGCUGAUGGAGAUGCCACUUUCGUGUGACUGCGAACAUUAAAGCACAAAAAAAUCCAACCUGGAGUUGUGUGAUUUUGAUACCAAAGUAAGUUCACUUUUCCUCCAAAAGGAAGUUUUUAUUUUUCCAAGAUUUAUAACUAAAGCAUACACUUAGAUGACUUAUUAACAUUCACUUGAUACAACAUAUAAACAAAAUAGUAACAGAUUCUGAGUGGUUAUUUUGUGGACUGUGACAAGCACUUCAAAUACAAAAUGUUAGGAGGGCAAAACGGUGCGGGCCCUCGUAGGUCAGGCAGGCACCAGUGGGCUCCUUCCUGCUGAAAGCUGCGGCUGUGAGAUGAGACCGCUGGCUGGGUCACAGAGUGAAAUCCAGCGUUCCGUGUGCGGACGAGGAGACAAGCUGUCCUGGCCAGCCAUCGCACCCCAAUGUCUUCAGCUUGACGUUGCUUCUCUGCCAGUGGAGCCUCCUCCACCACCUGGGAACAUCCCUGGCCAUCUGUCCCUGAAGUCCUCCUCACCAUGACGCAGAUCACAAGGCACCCACUAAAGGGGCAAAGCCAGGAAUCCCGUGCCAUGUGAUCGCCCCGUGUGGCACCUGCCACUCGUCUGCACCAAACGCACUGCCAGUUCUGGGGAAGAACAGCCCAGGGAAGCUGCUGGUCUACGGCCUGCCUGAGCUGUAUUCCAAGGGUAGAGCAGCUGCCUGGGGGGACCCUGUGGGUCCCUUUUCUAUAGAGCCGGGACAAAUCCACAGCCCUGCAGUAACAGCCUGCCACAAAGAGCAGGCAUCUGGAGGGCCCCACACACAUAGACCAAAGGACUGAGCCCGCCUGGCAUUCCUCCACUCACAGCACAAAUACUCAGCCCUGCAGCCAGGGAAGGGUGGGGUCUCCCUUUGCUGCCCAAGUGUGCCCCCUUGCCCGUCUGAUCUCUCCUGUUAGGUCAGCCUCAUUCAGGGCUUUGUGCCAGGUCCUGUCCUGGAGUCUCAGUCCGGGACAGCAGCCUGGCUCUUAGGCAGUCCAGAAGCAGCAGGGCAAAGGGGGGCAAAUACUAACACGGGGUGUCACGGGAUGGCCAGGAGGAGUCCUGCUCGCCACCCAGGCUCACUGUCCUAAACCUCCAUCUGAAACCGCAUCUCGGGUGACCUCAGAUUGUGCUAGGAAAGCCUAGUUAAUAAAUCUGCCUCAUCUCGA